rnacentral:lncRNA from 1 species
GUGAAUCCAUCUGGUCCUGGACUCUUUUUGUGGUUGGAUUUCAUCCCUUACUGGUCUCAACCAAAAUAUUCCUGUUGGAAUCAUGAUGAUAAUCAUAGCAGCACUUUUCACAGCAUCAGCAGUCAUCUCACUAGUUAUGUUCAAAAAAGUACAUGGACUAUAUCGCACAACAGGUGCUAGUUUUGAGAAGGCCCAACAGGAGUUUGCAACAGGUGUGAUGUCCAACAAAACUGUCCAGACCGCAGCUGCAAAUGCAGCUUCAACUGCAGCAUCUAGUGCAGCUCAGAAUGCUUUCAAGGGUAACCAGAUUUAAGAAUCUUCAAACAAUACACUGUUACCUUUUGACUGUACCUUUUUCUCCAGUUACUGUAUUCUACAAAUAUUUUUAUGUUCAAAACACACAGUACAGACAGCAUGGAUAUUUCCUGUUCACUUGUGCAUGGGCUAAAACCAGGAAAACUUCCUUGUCUUAUUACUUUACCUAAUAGUUUCUUAAUAUUUCAGUGCCCCUUGCAGAAAAAAUAUUACAUGCUAAAUAAAUAUUCUCCAUAUUUUUGGGGGAUGACAUUCAGUGAAUUAUUUCAGUGGUGACCCACUGAAAAUUAAUAAUGGUACUUAUGAUUAAAAACGCAUUUAAUACUAACUGCAGUAGUUCUUUCAAGAAUCUUUAGAGAUAAGGAUUGCACAUUGGAAAAGUAAACCAUGUUUCAUUCCUUUUUCCCUAUUUAUAUUGAAAGAAAUAGGCCAGCAGAGACUUAGGGAUUUUAAAUUGGCUUGCUUUUUAGCUGUUUCAGUCACCAGUGAAGAGCCUAUGUGCAUUUUGUAGUAGAUAAUGUAAAAUUUGUCAUCUUUUUCUUUUCUUUUUUUUAGAAUAGCUGAUAUUUUGAUAACAAUCUCUAAUUUGCAUGGGCACCACAUUUCUUAUAUUAAAAGAAUUAGUGUUUUGGCUUCUGUACUGCUUAUGGUUGUAGGAUUCAGGGGUUAAUGGAAUCACAGAAAUGAUAUUCUGCAAGAAUUUCUUUUAAAUAAAAAGUUUGGGGGUGCAAUAUAAGAAGUUUAUAUAAUAUGCAGUACAUUAUCCAAAAGAGAAGGUAGUUAAUGCAGUAGAAAGUAGUGGUAAUAAUUCCUUUUUAAAAAAAUUUCGGUAGUCAUAUAGUAACAUUUUGCUAUAUGAAAACUUUGGUAUAUUCUGUGGUUACAACUAAGAUUGUGUCUGGCAGCUCUUUUUUGGGGAUGUGUGUGUGUGAUUUUUAACAGAGGUAUUAAAGGCUAGCCUAACUGUUGUCUAAAAAGAUUGUACAGUAUUUAAGGGAUUUUCCUUUUAGCUUUUCAUCUCCAGUGGCAUUAAACAUAAAAAGACCCUGGCAUUUUUUCACAUACUUGAAUCCCUAAAUGCACCUGUCUUUCACUUUUUGAGACAGACUGAAUAUAUCUAAAAUUUCCAGCAAUAAAAAAAAAAGCAUUUAACUUGCACCAAGCAAGAAAAUAUAAAUACAGUUAACUGCAUUAAGAUAAUCACGUUAAAAUUGUUACUAUGCAGCACAGAACUUCAUUCUUAUAGUAUUCUUGGGUUCAACCUUUGAAUCAAUUUUACCACUGAUUAAAUAAAUGACUCAAAGACAUCUGUAAGUCAUGCUGCUGUGUUUUGAAAGUCUUUAACUAAAUUAAGAUUGCAGAAUGAUAGUGAUUAUUCAAUUAGAUUUUAAGUAAGGAUUGUGAUAUUAGAGGCUGGAAAUCCUUAUUUUUUAAAAAAUCAGAUAGGCAUAAAUAGUUAAAUCACUUUCAUUCUCCCCAAACCUGUAGUUACAGAAAAAGUUUUAUGCUAGAGGUGGGAUGCCAAGUUUUCACUAUCCAUGAAGCAGCGCUGCAUGUCACUAGGUAACACAGAUCCAUCCAGAUGGUGUUUACAUUUGAUUUAUUUGGGAUCUUAUUGACAUCAGGUAUACUUGGAAGACAUUUCUUUUAUUCUUCAGCGUAUGAAUUUAAAGCUAUUUUUUGUAAAUAUUUCUAAUCAGCGAUAAUUUCUACCUAUGUUCUCAACCAACUUAGCCAGUUUGUUUUUCAGAGCCUGUAGUCUUAUUGGAAAUCUAUUUUAUCAGUGUGCUUUAUUGAGUGUGGAUUUUGCAUACAUUCAAAACAUUAACCACAAAAUACAGCAAGUGCACCUAUAUUCACCAUUAACUUAUAUCCCAAGUCCAUUUUUUCCUGUACACUACAAACAAAAGAUAUAUUAGAGACUUUUGAAAAAUGCUGAAAUACUUUGCUUCAGAAUUGGAAUGUUUAUAUUAUGUAGAAAUCUUCAAAGGUAGCAUUAUUAAAUAGCAAAGAAUAAUUAGAACCCACAUAUCUUUUUUUGUGUGGAUGGGGAAAAUGUUUUAAAAUCCAGUUAUUUAAUAUGAGUUUGAGAGAGAAAAUUGUUUUUUAAAAAUAUAUGUGCAUUGAAAUGAUGGCAAUGCUUAUAGUAUGAUCAAGUAUGAAAGGAACUUUAAAUUCUUAUAUUUACUUUUCUCUCAGUAAAUUGUUAAAUUUUCACUCAGCAAAAGAUUGGCAUUUGUUAAGUGUUCUAUAUUUAGUACUAAAAUCACAGUCAUGAAAUCAUAGUCAUAAAAUGGUCUUCACACAGCAGUCAUCCGUGUCAUUUAUCAUUUUGUAAUAUUAAAUUAUGGCAAUUUUAUUUCAAACUAAAGUUUGAACACCGGAAAGUCAUUACUCAGUGAUUUGUAAUUUGGGACUUGGAUUAUUUAUCUAGAGAUGUUUGUAUAUUUUGUCAGUAACUAAUACUGCGCUGCCAUCAUGGUGACUGUCAUGGUUCUACAGAAAUGCCCUCCAUGUGUCCCUCUAAUGUUGCAUGUUUCAGUGGGUUGGAAGUUUUGUAUAUUUAUUGUAUUAACACAGAGUGUCAUAAAAUAAAAUGCUGUUUACUGGAUGUUUGUUUGUAUAAUUUUGAACACUAUAAUAGCAAUUCAGAGACAGACAUUGUUAAAGGUUUGAUGUAUAUAGAAAUUCCAUGUUUGAUUUUUUAAAAUAUGUGUAUAAGUCUGUCAUGUGCUAAACAAAAUAAUAUGAAAGACCUAGUUAAAAAUUCUAACCAAUGUAAAAUGACCAUUUUUCUGUUGCAUUAGACCUUUACAGGUAAUGGAACAUGAGCUUCACCCAUAUUAAAUAUUUUGGCCCCUUUAAGGUCAAAAUACAGAUCAUCUAGAAGUUAGAUUCAAAAUGGAAAACCUAUUCAUGGCUCAGAUUUUUCAUUGUGGGUUAAAAAUGGGUGUCUCUGUACUAGUAUUGUAUUUAUUCAAUUGAACUUGUAUUCUGAUUUCUAUCCUUGCUACCUAUUGCUGUUUUAUGUACUGAUGAAAGUACCUAUUUGUGUAUAUUGGAUUUUUCACUUGGUUAGCUAAAGAAGAUGUAAAAAUAUCUAAAAUAAUGUUCAUGGUGAAUCUUAUUUUGAGAAAUACAUGUU